UACGGAGGGGGCAAGCGUUGUUCGGAAUUACUGGGCGUAAAGGGCGCGCAGGCGGCUGCUCAAGUCAGGCGUGAAAGGCCUGGGCUCAACCCGGGAAUUGCGCUUGAGACUGGGCUAGCUUGAGUGCGGGAGAGGAUGGUGGAAUUCCCAGUGUAGAGGUGAAAUUCGUAGAUAUUGGGAAGAACACCGGUGGCGAAGGCGGCCAUCUGGACCGCAACUGACGCUGAGGCGCGAAAGCGUGGGGAGCAAACAGG
rnacentral:rRNA from 1 species